CUGUUCCCAGAAGCAGAGCCUGAGGUGUCAUUCCAUCACAGACCUCCAUUCCUGUCCCAUCCAGACUCUGCCCAGAACUCCCUACACUCCCGGGAAGCCUGCCUUGAAGGGAAAGGAGGAGGCAUGAGCCGGAGAUGAGGAGAUCAUCUGAAUGGCAGUCCUGCGGGAGGACAGGAAAUGAGAACUGACGUUGAGAAGGAGUCCUCCUGGAACACUCCUUCCCUGCGAGCUCUCGGUUACCCUGGCUCUGGAGCAUUCUCCGCAUGCAGCUAGCUCAUGGAACACAGCGUGCAGAGCCUGUGCGUCUGGACUUGGAAAGCUGCCAAAAGACAGGGCAAGGUUUCCCGAGGGCUGGAAUCUGUGGGAUUCCUUGGGACCCCAGGGAACUUUCCCAGUAGCUGGGGCUUGGGCUGUCCUCAUGGUGCUGUCUCCCCCAUGCCCUGCAUGGCUAAAGGAGAAUUGAUAUUAAAUAUAAAGGCCACCAAAUAGA